rnacentral:lncRNA from 1 species
GUCUUUUUGCUAUUUCUUGGGCCGCUCCCGCGGCAUAUGGAGAUUCCCAGCCAGGGGUCCAAUCGGAGCCGUAGCCACCGGCCUACACCAGAGCCACAGCAACUCAGGAUCUGAGCCGCGUCUGCAACCUACACCACAGCUCACAGCAACGCCGGAUCGUUAACCCACUGAGCAAGGGCAGGGACCGAACCCGCAACCUCAUGGUUCCUAGUCGGAUUCGUUAACCACUGCGCCAUGACAGGAACUCCAAGCCUUUUUUUUUUUUUUUUUUUUUUUCCUGUCUUUUUAUGGCCACACCUGUGGCAUAUGGAGGUUCCCAGGCUAGGGGUCGAGUCAGAGCUGUGGCCACUGGCGGGCACCACAGCCACACCAGAUCCGAGCCGCGAGUGCGACCUACACCAUGGCUCGCGGCCACACUGGAUCCUUGAGCCACCGAGUGAGGCCAGGGCUGGAACCUGCAUUCUCAUGGAUCCUGGUUGGGUUCAUUUCCCUGAGCCACGACGGGAACUCUGGAUGAGAAUGCUCUUGAUAAGUAACACCUCCAGGAAUCCGUGUUUCCCGCUGAUGUUUUCAGAAGCAGACUGGGAGGGCCCUUCACAGGCACGGCCCCUCUCAGGACCUGUGGCCAGCGGGGCGCACGGGCCGUGGAAGGAAGAGAUGCGACCUGAACUCUGGGCUGUGGGGUCCUGAGCGCAAACUGCUCUGGGGCCCGGCAGCAAGGGCCGACUGGAGGUGCCCUUCGGCGGGGGCCCGCGCACCGGCUGUGCGCUGGAACCUUCAGUAAGAAAGACGUCCUCCCCCCGCGGAAGAUGACGGGCCUCUGGGUUCUGCGGCCCGUCGGGCCCAGUGAGGACCAACGACUCUAUCUCGACCCAAGUUAGAAACGUGCCGAUUAAACGUGCCUGCUCUACUCCAACACCGUCCGCAGGACAGAAACGUGCAAAGCUCAACAUUUUCCCCGGGGACGGUAACGUGACGACGCAGUUUCAGGGGCAGCCCCUUGAAGACCGAGAAAGAGAUUAGAAAUUACGUUUCCAAGAUCUUUCCAUGAAAGAGGAAGCUCGAUAAUGGAGGUGGUGCUCAAGUGGGGGCCCAGGGGGCAGAGGGCUUGCGUCCCGCAAACCCAGAUGCCCCCCCACCCCCGCUCCCAGCGAGAGGGAGGUCACACGUUCGGGUCUCUUGAGGCAGGUGUGGACACUGCACCCACAGCAAAGAGCAGCCCCGGGACCCCACUGGCCUGCGGUCCCUGCGGUUUGCCGUGGCUGCUGGUGUGUGGUCUAUGCCGGCAGAGGCUGCCCAGCCGGGCCGGGUGGGGGACUGGGGGGGAAGGAGGCCCCCAAUGUAGGACCGCACCCACUGACGCCAGAGCCCUGAGCCAGCGAGUGAGGUCAGCCGUGGAGGGGCGGCCGGGCCCUGGCCCAGGCGCAAUCCCAGAAAUGAGACAUUUGUGGCAGGUUUGUUGUUGUUUUGUUUUUGUUUUUUGGGGGGUGCACUCGUGACAUGCAGAAGUUCCCGGGUCAGGGAUCAAACCUGAGCCACAGCAGCAACCCAAACCGCUGCAGGGACAGCAGGGCCGCUGGCCCCUCAGAACCAGGCGGCACCCAGAACUGGCUCGGCUACAGAGCUGCCCAGGGGCCUGGGGUUUGAACCAGGGCAGAGUCUGGACGGAAAGCGGACGAAGCCAGAUGGACGGCUGAGGGGCCACUGGAGGUGGGGGGUGGACAGGCAGACACAAGGACGUCCAACGCCGAGUCCCCGUUCUGCGCACCGCGCCCCAGGGAAGCGGGCCGGGUCCUCCGGCCCAGACAGCGCGGCUGCUCCCGAGGGGCCUCCUGCCUUCGUCCUGCUCUUUUCCCUGCAGCUUCGCUCAGUGGACCUGAGACACAACUGCUAUGAUUCCCCCUCACUUAUAAAGAAACUAAACCUGCCCUUUUUCCCUUCUUCAUCGCAGAUUCAGACCCUCUGCUCACAUAAUCUCCAGAGAAGUCCAAGUAUGAUUAAUAUUAUGAAGACAUAUUUUAUGUACAGAAAUAAAAGUUAAAAACGGUAGCAUCCAAAAUAAAUUUUACAGAAAUGUAAGACGUGGUUUAAUCCCAAUUUAAUGUUUCAGAGCAGGUUAAUGAUUUAUUUGCAAUUAAACAUUAUGGUUUGGAGGCUGAUUUAUAGUCUUGAACGCACCUACUAUAUUCAAUAAUUUAAAAAUAAAGUCCAGUAUUUAUGACGACAACAACUACAGGUUCCAUCUGUGUUAAGCCCAUGUCUGAGAAGGCUCUGCUAUUACAUCACUACACGAUGAGUGGACAUGUUAAACAGCAAUGCAGACAUACAUUCUAAUUUUAAGUCGGAGACAACAUAUGCAUAUUAAAAUUCUGUAUAUUUCGAUAAGGUAAAAAAUAAAGCUCUAUAAACUGAUCUUUAGAUUUUUUUCUGCAAAAGUAGAAUCAGACUUGAACGCUCUGGCACAUCUUCCUUAAAGCUUGUUUACACACAGUAUCAGAAUGAGUCUUAGCCCCAUUCACCUACCCGCUAACUUUAACAAAAAAAAAAAAAUGAAUACAUCUGUCAGCUGACAUUUUUCCUGUUUUCCAAGUUUCAGAUGGGAAACUUCCAAAAGAAAGUGCAUAGCAAGCUGUUACACUGAGCUGUCAAAUAAAUACCAUUCAUUUAAAGAUAAGUGGGAGUGGGUGUAUUAAGUUAUUGAUAGUCAGUGCAAAACAGAUGAGCGUAGUGGUUUUAAAGGAAAAGGCCGAGACUUCCCUCAGGUGGCCCUGAACGUGCGAUGCCCAUCAAUUCAAGAAGAGUUACAUGGCAUGUGCCAGGCAUUUCUCCAGGUCAAGCUGCACAAUCUCGCCAGGCUAAACUACGCUUGUAGAAACCUGCUGCUGCAGAGGCUGGCACUUCUGGCCACCCGCAGUCUCGGGGGCCCCAGGGGUCCUUUGGUCUGCGUUCACCCCAUCCAGUCAGGCGCACAGGAGUGGGCUGACCUGGGCUCUAACAGGAGUUGCCAAGAGAGGGUCUCAUCUCCCAGUUCUGGAUGCUGGACAGGUGGUCCAGGAGCUGCUGGCGGCCACCCAUCCUAAAGGCGGGGCCCGCACUUCCUGAAAGGGAGGAGCUUCACCCCUGGAGGCAGGGUCCCCUCAGGCAGCGGAUGUGCGUGCGGUGCAUGGGGGGAAAGCAGGAUGGAAGGCUCCCACUCGGCUUGCUGUGUGGGGGGUGGCGAGCGGGUCAGGA